rnacentral:siRNA from 1 species
GAAAAAGAUGGACCGCACGGAAA